rnacentral:rRNA from 2 species
GGGCACCUAAUGUCGAAGUCUGACGGAAGCACGCCGCGUGAAGUGAAGAAAGGCCUUUCGGGUCGUAAAACUCUGUUGCCGGGGAAGAGCAAGUGCCGUUCGAACAGGGCGGCGCCUUGACGGUACCCGGCCAGAAAGCCACGGCUAACUACGUGCCAGCAGCCGCGGUAAUACGUAGGUGGCAAGCGUUGUCCGGAAUUAUUGGGCGUAAAGCGCGCGCAGGCGGCUUCUUAAGUCUGAUGUGAAAUCUUGCGGCUCAACCGCAAGCGGUCAUUGGAAACUGGGAGGCUUGAGUGCAGAAGAGGAGAGUGGAAUUCCACGUGUAGCGGUGAAAUGCGUAGAGAUGUGGAGGAACACCAGUGGCGAAGGCGGCUCUCUGGUCUGUAACUGACGCUGAGGCGCGAAAGCGUGGGGAGCAAACAGGAUUAGAUACCCUGGUAGUCCACGCCGUAAACGAUGAGUGCUAAGUGUUAGAGGGUUUCCGCCCUUUAGUGCUGCAGCUAACGCAUUAAGCACUCCGCCUGGGGAGUACGGCCGCAAGGCUGAAACUCAAGAAAUUUUUGCGGG